rnacentral:rRNA from 1 species
GAUGAACGCUGGCGGCGUGCCUAAUACAUGCAAGUCGAGCGAACAGACGAGGAGCUUGCUCCUCUGACGUUAGCGGCGGACGGGUGAGUAACACGUGGAUAACCUACCUAUAAGACUGGGAUAACUUCGGGAAACCGGAGCUAAUACCGGAUAAUAUAUUGAACCGCAUGGUUCAAUAGUGAAAGACGGUUUUGCUGUCACUGAUAGAUGUAUCCGCGCCGCAUUAGCUAGUUGGUAAGGUAACGGCUUACCAAGGCAACGAUGCGUAGCCGACCUGAGAGGGUGAUCGGCCACACUGGAACUGAGACACGGUCCAGACUCCUACGGGAGGCAGCAGUAGGGAAUCUUCCGCAAUGGGCGAAAGCCUGACGGAGCAACGCCGCGUGAGUGAUGAAGGUCUUCGGAUCGUAAAACUCUGUUAUUAGGGAAGAACAAAUGUGUAAGUAACUAUGCACGUCUUGACGGUACCUAAUCAGAAAGCCACGGCUAACUACGUG